rnacentral:rRNA from 1 species
AAUCAACGCUGGCGGCGUGCCUCAGACAUGCAAGUCGAACGCGAAAGGCCCCUUCGGGGGCCCGGUAGAGUGGCGCACGGGUGAGUAAUACGUAGGUAAUUUGCCUUCGGGUGGGGAAUAACAGCCGGAAACGGCUGCUAAUACCGCAUAAUGCAGCGGCUCGACAUCGAGACAGUUGUUAAAGCGGGGGAUCGCAAGACCUCGCGCCUGAAGAGAAGCCUGCGGCAGAUAGCUUGUUGGUGAGGUAAUGGCUCACCAAGGCGACGAUCUGUAACCGGCCUGAGAGGGCGGUCGGUCACACUGACACUGACAUACGGGUCAGACUCCUACGGGAGGCAGCAGUCGGGAAUUUUGGGCAAUGGGCGAAAGCCUGGCCCAGCAACGCCGCGUGAAGGAUGAAAUCUCUCGGGAUGUAAACUUCGCAAGAACGGGAAGAAUAAGUUUGGGAUAAUACCCGAAUGGUGACGGUACCGUUUGUAAGCUCCGGCUAACUCCGUGCCA